rnacentral:lncRNA from 1 species
AUGGCAAGGGAAGGAAAUACAGGGAGCCCUUAUCUGCAUAUGAUGUUCACAAAGGGCCUGCUGGAACAUCCAAGUCCAGUCUGCACUCGUGAAGCACCUGCUCUGCAGGCUUCUUCCUUCACCCUUGCAACUUCCAUGGGACUUUUUUCCGAGGAACUCAUUUUAGCCCCAGAUCUUGCAAGGUGAGAUAUUUAUACAACCUAAGCCCAGAGUCUCUGAGGAGCAACUAGGAUUACCAAACCAUUAAAUUUCAGUAAGAUGAGACUUCUCAGAUUCUAUGGAUUUUACAGCAUUUUUGCAGACUGACAGGCACUGUCAGCUGGGAGCUCAGCAUGGUUUCUCGUUCCCUGCUACCAGGUAGAUGUUCACCUGCAGCUCCAUCCGUUCACAAGUACAUGGUUCUCCUGGACGUUUUAUUGCCAAGUUCUAGAAAAAAUAAAUAUGAGAUGUCAGAGAAAAACA